UGAACAUCUGAUGAGUCAAUACAGGGCACGGAGUAGGACUUUGAAGUCCUCCAUUGGAUCUUCUCGGAAGAUGAGGGAAAUGAGAGAGUGUGGAGAGAGAUUUUGUAAGUCCGGUCUGGAAGUGGUCAUUGUUCAGAAUCCAGCCACGUGGGUACAUGGAACUGUAAGCUGUCUCUUAGCGAAGAAUAAAACUGUGGACUGACCCCCACCCA
rnacentral:lncRNA from 1 species